AUUGAACGCUGGCGGCAUGCUUUACACAUGCAAGUCGAACGGCAGCGCGGGCUUCGGCCUGGCGGCGAGUGGCGAACGGGUGAGUAAUGCAUCGGAACGUGCCCAGUAGUGGGGGAUAGCCCGGCGAAAGCCGGAUUAAUACCGCAUACGACCUUAUGGUGAAAGCGGGGGACCGAAAGGGCACGCGCUAUUGGAGCGGCCGAUGUCGGAUUAGCUAGUUGGUGGGGUAAAUGCUUACCAAGGCGACGAUCCGUAGCUGGUCUGAGAGGACGACCAGCCACACUGGAACUGAGACACGGCCCAGACUCCUACGGGAGGCAGCAGUGGGGAAUUUUGGACAAUGGGGGAAACCCUGAUCCAGCCAUGCCGCGUGCGGGAAGAAGGCCUUCGGGUUGUAAACCGCUUUUGUUCGGGAAGAAAUCCUCUGGGCUAAUACCCCGGGGGGAUGACGGUACCGGAAGAAUAAGCCCCGGCUAACUACGUG
rnacentral:rRNA from 1 species